UCCAUGGUGGCUCAGAUGGUAAAGCAUCUGCCUACAACGCGGGAGACCCAGGUUCAAUCCCUGGAUCUGGAA
rfam:Ovis aries breed Texel chromosome 3, whole genome shotgun sequence.